rnacentral:tRNA from 1 species
GGCGCCAUGGCCGAGUGGUCAGGCAGAGGUCUGCAAAACCUCGUACGGCAGUUCGAUUCUGCCUGGCGCCU